AUUGAACGCUGGCGGCAGGCCUAACACAUGCAAGUCGAGCGUGCGGCGGACGGGUGAGUAAUGUCUUGGAAACUGCCUGCUGGAGGGGGAUAACUACUGGAAACGGUAGCUAAUACCUCAUCCCAUCCGAUGUGCCCAGUUGGGAUUGGCGAGGAGGUGGGGUAAUGGCUCACCUGGGCGACUAUCCCUAGCUGGUCUGAGAGGAUGACCAGCCGCACUGGAACUGAGACACGGGCCGGAGUCCGACGGGAGGCGGCAGUGGGGAAUAUUGCACAAUGGGCGCAAGCCUGAUGCAGCCAGGCCGCGUGUAUGAAGAAGGCCUUAGGGUUGUAAAGUACUUUCAGAGGGGAGGCGUUACCCGCAGAAGAAGCACCGGCUAACUCCGUGCCAGCAGCCGCGGUAAUAC
rnacentral:rRNA from 1 species